GAGUACUUAACUUUUUUUUAUGUCAUGGGCCUAUCUGGCAAUGUGAAGACUUCAUGACUCUUUUCUUGGAAUGAUACUUUUAAAUUCACAAUAUACACAGAAUUACAAAAGAAACCAAAGAUGAGUGGAAAUAAAUAAUUAUUUUUUCCCAAAUACAAGUUCCCAAGAAAAUCACAGAUUCCAAGUUAAGUGCCUCUGGAUUGAACUAUGAGCAAAGUUUUUAACCUUCUUUGUAUCACAGACAUCUUUGGCAAUAUGGUGACACCUAGGGAACCCUUCUCAAAAUCAUAUCUUUUAAAUGCACAAAAUAAAGUACCUGAGAAUACAGAGGAAAUCGAUUUUAUUGAAAUAUAGUUAUCAACAUAUUAAAAAGAAACAGACGAAGUUCAUGAACCUCCAAAAUAAGUACACUUACGCUUGCUCUAGUCAUCAGAAACACCCAUUGGGAGGGAAGAGAAACAGAUUCUGCUUUUCCCACAGAGUCGUCUUGCUUUUACACUUCUCUGCUAUUAAGCCUAGGCUCCAGGAAGAGUUUGGUGCCAUUAACUCCAGGCAAAAUCCUCAUUUCUCUCAACUGUUUCUUGAAUGACACAACUGUCAAAAUCCUCACCAUACUUACUGCCUACAUCUCGAUACUCUCUUGCUCAUCAAUGUCCUUUUUAAAGUGUAUGGCCGAGAUGAAUUAUUUCUUCAGUUGCUACAAGAGUUGGAAAAUAUUAUUUAACCUAUUUCAAUAAUCUUCACAAACUCUUGGAGAAUAAGAAAGAUGCCAAAAGAUUGAAAACUGCUUUCAGAAUCAAUCAAUAAUAAUUCUAGAA
rnacentral:lncRNA from 1 species